rnacentral:lncRNA from 1 species
GAGCAGAUACACUCACCCCUUUGAGUAAUCAGGUAAUUUACUCUUUUAAAUUCGAGGACGAAUUUUAUAUAAGGGGGGGAGGAUGUAAUAAUCCAAAAAAAAAUUUUUUAUAUAAAAAGGGAUAGAAUAGUCCUUUAAAAUUGAUAUAAGGGGUAAAAUUGGAAGAAAUCAAAAGUUAAUGGCAUAACAGUAGAUAUGUUGAAGUGUUAGGGGCAAAAUGGGAAAUUAAUAAUAUUAAAAAAAGGGUGAAUAGUAUUUUGAUGUGACUUAAUUGGGAGGGUUGUGCUGUCGGUGGAAUGAAACCGAGAG